CACUGGUACUGAGACACGGACCAGACUCCUACGGGAGGCAGCAGUGAGGAAUAUUGGACAAUGGAGGCAACUCUGAUCCAGCCAUGCCGCGUGCAGGAAGACUGCCCUAUGGGUUGUAAACUGCUUUUAUAGAGGAAGAAACCUCCCUUCGUGAAGGGAAUUGACGGUACUCUACGAAUAAGGAUCGGCUAACUCCGUGCCAGCAGCCGCGGUAAUACGGAGGAUCCAAGCGUUAUCCGGAAUCAUUGGGUUUAAAGGGUCCGUAGGCGGACUAAUAAGUCAGUGGUGAAAGUCUGCAGCUCAACUGUAGAAUUGCCAUUGAUACUGUUAGUCUUGAGUCAUUAUGAAGUGGUUAGAAUGAGUGGUGUAGCGGUGAAAUGCAUAGAUAUCACUCAGAAUACCGAUUGCGAAGGCAGAUCACUAAUAAUGUACUGACGCUGAUGGACGAAAGCGUAGGUAGCGAACAGGAUUAGAUACCCUGGUAGUCUACGCCGUAAACGAUGGUUACUAGCUGUUUGGUCGAUUGAGACUGAGUGGCUAAGCGAAAGUGAUAAGUAACCCACCUGGGGAGUACGUUCGCAAGAAUGAAACUCAAAGGAAUUGACGGGGGCCCGCACAAGCGGUGGAGCAUGUGGUUUAAUUCGAUGAUACGCGAGGAACCUUACCAGGGCUUAAAUGUAGUCUGACAGAUUUGGAAACAGAUUUUUCUUCGGACAGAUUACAAGGUGCUGCAUGGUUGUCGUCAGCUCGUGCCGUGAGGUGUCAGGUUAAGUCCUAUAACGAGCGCAACCCCUGUGGUUAGUUGCCAGCGAGUCAAGUCGGGAACUCUAGCCAGACUGCCGGUGCAAACCGUGAGGAAGGUGGGGAUGACGUCAAAUCAUCACGGCCCUUACGUCCUGGGCCACACACGUGCUACAAUGGUAGGGACAGAGAGCAGCCACUUCGCGAGAAGGAGCGAAUCUUCAAACCCUAUCACAGUUCGGAUCGCAGUCUGCAACUCGACUGCGUGAAGCUGGAAUCGCUAGUAAUCGGAUAUCAGCCAUGAUCCGGUGAAUACGUUCCCGGGCCUUGUACACACCGCCCGUCAAGCCAUGGAAGCUGGGGGUA
rnacentral:rRNA from 1 species